AUGACACUGUCCCUUGUCCCUUCCUUGGUCCUGGUCCCCCCAUGUCUGUGUCUAUGCCCUCAUCAUUCCACGUCCCUGUCCCCAUCCCUGUGCCCCCACGGCCCUGUCCCAGUUCCCUGUCCUGGUCCAAGUCCCCCACGUCCCUGGCCUGGUCUCAGUGCUGCUGUCACCGUCCUGGUUCCCUGUCCUGGUUCCCCGUCCCUUGCUCCUGUCUGCCACGUCCCUGGCUGCCUUGCUGUCCUGGUCUCUGUCCCCUCUCCUGUGACCCUGUCCUGGCCCCAGUGCUCCCCCAUCACUGUCCCAGUCCUGGUCCCUGUGCCCAUGGCCCUGCCCUGGUCCCUCCGUGCACCUGUCCUGCUCCCAGUGCCCCCACGUCCUGCUCCCAGUGCCCCCACACCCCUGUCCCCCUGUUCCUGCCCCCACAUCGCUGUCCCGUAUCCCCCUACAUCCCCAUCCCCCUGUCCCAGCGCCCCACAUCCCAGUCCUGCCCCCCACAUCCCCCACACCCCUGUCCCCCUGUCCCCGUUCUCCCCAUCCCACUCCUGCUCCCCGCCCCCCAGUCCCGGUCCCCGGUCCCGGUCCCGCACCCCGCUGCCCCCGUCCUCCCCACCCUGCGCCCCCCGUCCCGGUGCCCGUGCGCUCACCGUGCGGUGUCACCACCUCGACGGUGACCAGCGGCGGGUCGAGACCGGCGGCGGCGCGCAGGCCCCAGCCGGGAGCGGGCCCGGGGCCGAGCUCGGGCGGACCGGGACCGGGGCCGGGAGCGGGGCCGGUGCCGGUGCCGGUGCCGGGGCGCACGGCGGGGCGGGCGGCGGGGCCCUGCCGCUCCUGCCGGUGCCGGGUGAUUUUAUCGUUGGCUCGGCGGCGCAGCCCCCGCCAGCGGUUCUUCACCUCGCCGAUGUCGCGCUGGUUGCGGCCGGCGGCGUUGAUCUUGUUGGUGAUGCGCCACCAGAUCUUCUGCUUCUCGUACGCGUUCACGGUGCUGGCGGCGGCGCCGAAGAGCAGCGGCUCGUACCGGAGCACCUCGCUCAUCAGGAUCUCGAUCUCCUGCAGCGUGAAGUUCGGUUUCCGUUUCAGCAGCCCCCGCCGCGCCGCGCCGCCCGCCGCCGCCGCCAUGCUGCCCGCCGCCGCCGCCGCCCGCGCCACCUGGGCGCGCAGCACAACCGCUGGCGGGGGCUGCGCCGCCGA
rnacentral:lncRNA from 1 species